ACGGGUUCUGCAGGUCGUCACCAGGCUGGAAGUCCUGAGAGGACAGUUAGAGGGCUGUUCAGAAGAUGUGAAGGAUAUGGUGCUCCUCCUUCUAUCCUAUUUUGAUGAAAAAGAGCAGAGCCUCUUCCACUAUGUAGAAGCAACAUGUCUGGCUAAAGAAGUGGACGUGGAAAGCCUGCCUGUGACACCUUGCAUCAUUGUAUGUGGACCUACCUGCUAUACCUCAACGCGGUUCAUGCUGAGUGUAGACCGCAAGGUUGUGAAUGACCUCAUCCCCACCUUCAUCUCUGCCAUCUGUUUGAUGUUUGGGAGCUACUAUUGCCUCAAUAUCCACUACCCUAUGGAGCUGGGUUCUACGCUGGAGUUCCUUCAGAGGUGUUUCUUCAACAUCAAUCCAGAGAAGGGCACAAAAGUUGAGACCAAGAAAAACAAGAAGCAACUGUCAGUGAACCCAAGAGUCCUCACUCUCAUCGCAGAUCUCUCUGAUCAUGAGUGGAGAGACACAUGCUGAAGAUGGAGUUAACUGUUAAGACUGAACUUUUAUGCACUGUUCAGAUUCAAAUUGCAACAUGCUAUACACUUCAACAACACUGAAACAUUCUAAAAAACUUGCCAGUUUAUGCCAAUAUGUUAUAGAUGAGACGGUGUAUUGUUUCCACAGCAAUUAAUCUCUAUACUACUGUUCCAAUUGCUGGCUUUUCAACCUUUUUUAUUUCUGAAUAUAUUUGUUGUGUCUUCAGAUAUAAGUGAGGAUAACAAUAUUAAGUUUACAGGUAGAGUUGCAUUUAUAUAGUGUUGAUCCACAAAAAAGUAAAAAGGAAUCUACACACAACAAAAAAUUGUUCCAAUUGCGGCAGGUAGCGGGAAAAAUAAACAGAAAAGACACAAGGUAGCGCUAUCAACCAUCCCACCUUGUAUAUAAUCUAUGAAAUGAUCUGAGAAUAAUGAUAGUAAAACUGGAUUUACACACACCAGUCUAAAAAAAGCACAACAGUGUACAGACUCCUUUUACUUUUUUGUGACCACUUGGUUCAGUUUGUAUUGCACCUGAUACAGGACCUGGAUGUGUGCACUUUUUCUAUUUAAGAUUGAUGCCCUGGGAUGCAGAAUAAUGUUCUUUCAUAUUUAUCUUGUUAGCGUCAUAGUUUUAAUAAACAGUUUUGAGAUGUCAUGUGUAUGUAAUGUGUCUUGAAAUGUUUGACAUUACUAAUUCCCAAUGAUCAGCAGCAAUACAAGAGCAUUGUUUUUUUUGUCAUUUGUGUUUGAGGCUGUUUCAGUUUGAUCAGAGAAUUCAAAUGAAAGACUGUCUAUAUGUUCUGAAAAUAGUAAAUGGUGGUUUACUUCUGGGUUAGUUCAGAUUUAUUUAUUCAUAGUCUGGAGAAGUAGACAAUACUUAACUGCUGUGCAUGUACUCCUGUCUGUUUCUCCAAACACGGGAUGUGCUGACAGUCAUCUACUGUAGGUACUGACUAUGGAGAAAGUAAAAUCAUAUGACCCUAUGCCACAUUUUUUUGUAAGUCAAUGCUGCAUUUAAAUUAAUAAAACAGGGUUAUGGAAAGCAUUUUAGUCUGUUUCAGUACUUUUGUGACACCUUCAGUGGAGGUUGACGGCUGGUGACAUUGAGCAUUGCCCAUCUGAGAAUCUCCUUUAAUGGUAAGCAAACUGAUGUCACAAAUUGUAUGUAUCUUAGGAAUAAAUUGUCAUUGUUAUUUGUCCUCACUGCUCUUGUAUAAAUUAUCUUGUCUUUCACUCCUGCCACCUUUCAGGCAUUGCUGAGUAGGUGUAGACUUUGGGGCAACAACUCGUUGGUGAGAAAAACGAGUGUCUGAAUAGAUGACAGAAAACAAUGGAGAGAGAGGGAUUUGAAGCAAAGGGUCCAGGCUGGAAUUUGAUCUUGGCAUGUGGACUAAGGUCUUAUUACGUCUUAUAGUGGCUACCCUUAACAUGGACUUCACCAAAUGGGUUUGAGCGGCUCCUGAAAUCAUUUUUUAUAGAGGGGAUCGUGCCAAGCCACAAUGCACACCUGACUGACAACUUGUGAAUCUUCAAGCUAAACUGAUGACAGCACAUCCUCAAAGUUCCAGUUUGCUGAACAUUGAACAUCUGUCCUACCUGUGUUUAGUCAAGUCUGGACCCUGGACCUCAAUCUUGUCAAGGGAAAUUAGAGAGAGAAUCAUGCCAGCAGACAUCUGAUGGCCAACAGUGAAUCUUCAACCAAAGCCAGUGGUUCCAGUUCCAGUUCCAGUUCCAGCAUCGUGUGUGAUAUGAUCCCAUUCUGAGCCUCCUGUUCAGUUAAGUCUGAACUCAAUGAAUUAUUAAUCUUAACCAGGCAAGUGACUAUGUUUUUGCAUGAACUAUUUCUCAUAUGAUCACGUGCUGUUUUUUCCCCAAUAUCUAAACACUGCCUUGUUGCUGUAGUGGAUAAGUUGUUGUAUUUCAGAGAAUGCUUAAAACAAUUUCUUAAAGUUUAUUAAUGAUAAUAUGUUUAAUUUGUUAUUUCCUUUGUAAUUUACCUUUAGCAGUUUUUGACUGUAAAAUCUGUGCCAACCAACUUUAUUAUCUGAUGUGUUGUAUUUCUUGCAAUGACAUUAUGGUGACCACAGCUGCUGGUAAUUCACUGUAAAGUUGAACUUAGCAAUAAAGUACCGUAAUACCUCA